rnacentral:misc_RNA from 1 species
GGGGGAAAAAAAAAAAAAAAAAAGAUGAACCAGUGUGCUAUCCAUCCAAGCGCUUUCUCUACCCGCGAAGAGAUACGGAGUUGCGUCUCGGACAGGAGAGAUCCGGUUGUUUGUCCCAAACCGAGACGUCUCGGUAUGUUGACCACCGCCAACGACCACCCUGUCAGGUCUCUCAGAUGGCAUCUCAGCCACCAAGCGGAGGUUUGUGAUUCAAAAGCAGGAACUGAUCUUUUGGAAAUAAUCCUGACAAAGGGUGGUUGUGGUGUGGAACAAUCCUGUACACAAGUAGCCUCGUCGCCCCCUUUUUUUUGUGGGUCGCCGCCAAGCAGAGUAGCUAACCCUUUAAUUCAAGACGCCCGAUUUGGGGACGAGAAAAUCUCUCCUAUCUCGCCACUUAUGCCCGUGCCGAUUCUUUCUCCAUCGGGUUUAUCAUCUUCUCCGACUUCCUCUACAAGGAAGGCAGGCUGCGUUAGGUCAAAUUUUGGGAACAAACCAGCAGUGAGGAUUGAGGGUUUUGAUUGCCUUGACAGGGAUCGCAGGAAUUGCAGC